UUGUACAGCUCAUUCGGUAAAGCCUGAGGUGCUUAAUCUCAGGGUUGUGGGUUCGAGCCCCACCCGGGGCUAAA